GAAAUCAUAGUAUAAUUUAAGUAUGUUUAAUUGCAAAUUAAAAGGUUUUGAUUUUU
rnacentral:tRNA from 1 species